GGAUCGGUAGCUCAGUUGGUCAGAGCAGCAGACUCAUAACCUGCGGGUCGUAGGUUCAAGCCCUACCCGGUCCA
rnacentral:tRNA from 1 species